GUGUCAGCCGCCGCGGUAAUACGAAGGGGGCUAGCGUUGCUAGGAAUCACUGGGCGUAAAGGGUGCGUAGGCGGGUCUUUAAGUCAGAGGUGAAAGCCUGGAGCUCAACUCCAGAACUGCCUUUGAUACUGAAGAUCUUGAGUAUGGGAGAGGUGAGUGGAACUGCGAGUGUAGAGGUGAAAUUCGUAGAUAUUCGCAAGAACACCAGUGGCGAAGGCGGCUCACUGGCCCAUAACUGACGCUGAGGCACGAAAGCGUGGGGAGCAAACAGGAUUAGAUACCCGGGUAGUCC
rnacentral:rRNA from 1 species